rnacentral:misc_RNA from 1 species
GAUGAAGAACGUAGCGAAAUGCGAUACGUAAUGUGAAUUGCAGAAUUCAGUGAAUCAUCGAAUCUUUGAACGCAUAUUGCGCUCUCUGGUAUUCCGGAGAGCAUGCUUGUUUGAGUAUCAGUAAACACCUCAGCUUCCAUAUCUUUUUUGAAAUGGGAGUUGGACUUGAGUGAUCCCAACGCUUUUCCUCACCGAAAAGUGGCGGGUUACUUGAAAUGCAGGUGCAGCUGGACUUUUCUCUGAGCUAUAAGCAUAUCUAUUUAGUCUGCCUAAAAAACAGAUUAUUACCUUUGCUGCAGCUAACAUAAAGGAGAUUAGUUCUUGUGCUGACUGAUGCAGGAUUCACAAAGACGGCUUCGGCCGACUUUGUAAACUCGAUCUCAAAUCAAGUAAGACUACCCGCUGAACUUAAGCAUAUCAAUAAGCGGAGGA